ACCCAGACUCCUACGGGAGGCAGCAGUGAGGAAUAUUGGUCAAUGGACGAGAGUCUGAACCAGCCAAGUAGCGUGAAGGAUGACUGCCCUAUGGGUUGUAAACUUCUUUUAUAAAGGAAUAAAACGAGGCACGUGUGCCUUUUUGCAUGUACUUUAUGAAUAAGGAUCGGCUAACUCCGUGCCAGCAGCCGCGGUAAUACGGAGGAUCCGAGCGUUAUCCGGAUUUAUUGGGUUUAAAGGGAGCGUAGAUGGGUUGUUAAGUCAGUUGUGAAAGUUUGCGGCUCAACCGUAAAAUUGCAAUUGAUACUGGCAGUCUUGAGUACAGUUGAGGUAGGCGGAAUUCGUGGUGUAGCGGUGAAAUGCUUAGAUAUCACGAAGAACUCCGAUUGCGAAGGCAGUUCACUGGACUGCAACUGACACUGAGGCACGAAAGCGUGGGUAUCGAACAGGAUUAGAUACCCGAGUA
rnacentral:rRNA from 1 species